rnacentral:miRNA from 1 species
AGCUGUUUUGGGACUACAAUUCCCAUCAUCCCUGACCACUGGUCAGUUAGCUAGGGAUGAUGGGAGUUGUAAUCCCAAAACAGCU